rnacentral:rRNA from 1 species
CCUACGGGAGGCAGCAGUGAGGAAUAUUGGUCAAUGGGCGGAAGCCUGAACCAGCCAAGUAGCGUGCGGGAUGAAGGCCCUACGGGUCGUAAACCGCUUUUGCACGGGGAUAACACCCUCCACUUGUGGAGGUCUGCAGGUACCGUGCGAAUAAGGGCCGGCUAAUUCCGUGCCAGCAGCCGCGGUAAUACGGAAGGCCCGAGCGUUAUCCGGGUUCAUUGGGCUUAAAGGGAGCGUAGGCGGGCGUUCAAGUCAGCUGUAAAAGCGCGCGGCUCAACCGCGCCCCGCAGUUGAAACUGGACGCCUUGAGUUCACAACAGGCAGGCGGAAUUCGUGGUGUAGCGGUGAAAUGCAUAGAUAUCACGAGGAACCCCGAUGGCGAAGGCAGCCUGCCGGGGUGCGACUGACGCUGAGGCUCGAAGGUGUGGGUAUCAAACAGGAUUAGAUACCCUUGUAGUC